rnacentral:rRNA from 1 species
UACGUAGGGUGCGAGCGUUGUCCGGAAUUAUUGGGCGUAAAGCGUGCGCAGGCGGUUUUGUAAGUCUGUCGUGAAAUCCCCGGGCUCAACCUGGGAAUUGCGAUGGAGACUGCAAGGCUAGAAUCUGGCAGAGGGGGGGUAGAAUUCCACGUGUAGCAGUGAAAUGCGUAGAGAUGUGGAGGAACACCGAUGGCGAAGGCAGCCCCCUGGGUCAAGAUUGACGCUCAUG